AUCUGAAAUGAAUAAAGACAUUUGUUUUUCACUCUCUCUUGUACAACACAAACACACAACCACGUAUAAUAAAAGAGAAAGUGGUCCCAUCUUAUAUCUCUCACUUAUCUCUAUCGCCAAACAAAUCUAUUACUAUAAAGAACAUUUUAACUCUUUUCUCCUUCUGCUACGUCAGAAAAUAGAUUCUUCUCGUCGCGACACGUGGCAUCUCAUUCAAUCCGUUGUGUUUUAUUAAAACAGCUCAUGGCGAUUAGGGUUUAGCUCGCUGUCUUUCAUCUUCUUCCUCACAGUACCAGAGGAAACCAGUUGCCGAAUAAUCCUCUUUAAACCUUCCAUUAAUAUAUCACCCAUGAUCUACACUGAAUGCGAAUUCUGAUUUUGAAGGGUAGUGGAUCUUCACCUAUAAAAAGAGAAGACUUCACCAUGCCUCAGUCAAUAGAAACUUCUCUUCUUUGAUUCCAUGGCUCAGUCAUCUAUCAUGCUCGCUGAUUUGAAGGCCCGCCCGCGUUCUUCCAUUCUGAGGUUUGGGGAAGCAAGAAACGUGAAAAGACGUGGGAGAUGAUGGGCCUAAAUAUGUUCAUCCUUGACGCUCAGGCAACCUUCACACCAGCCACCGUCAACGUCCACCGUCUCACACUUACCGGCAUCUUUUUAAGGUGGGCUCAAUGUACUCCUUAGGCGGUUUUGAUGUGACUGGCUGCAAUCAGAAUUACAGGCUCUUUGACUCACCUCGGCUGUUUCGGUUUAGUGAUUCAACCGAAUUUGAAGAGCUCAUGGGAGUGGAUAUGCUCUUACUGGAUUCACAGUGUGAGGUCCUUCGGUAACUCAACGUUUAAUUGAGUACGUGCAUGGCGUGUCAUUAGAGCGAGAUGGAGGGAGAUGGAGCAAGCGGCGGAGAGCGACGGAAAAAGUAGCGGAGAGAGACGGAACUAGCGGUCUCGAGCUGAUGGAACAAGUGACGGAGAGUGUGACGGGAGAUAGGAAAGGCAAUUGUUGCAGUUCAAUGGCGCAGUGGAGGUUGAUAGGCUCUCAGACAGGAGGGAUAAAAGUAGCUGUGGAGGAGUCUAACAUGACUACAUAUCUUCUUAUGAGGCUGUUGCUCAAUAUCGAUGGCCUCAAAACAGCAGGGAAAGCUAGAGUAUAAUGAUAAUGCAGAGGUUAGUGUUUCAUCUCCGGCUUUUUUCAUCUGUCUGCAUCAUUAUCUAUGUUUUCACGAUAAUAAUGUCAACAACAGUGGUGAACGAUAUGCAUCAGGUACUUAUUACUAAUGAGUUAUGAGACUUUCAGAUGAGUUGCAGUGAUAUGAUUGGUUACUUUGGUAGAUAUACAUUGCGAUUUUCUUUUCCAUAGCAAAUAAGAGUUUUCCAGGUCACAGGGCAGACAACAACAAAAGUUAAUGCGUGUAAAAGAAGGAACAUGUAAUGGAUCGAUCAAGAUAUUAUUCAUUUUUUAAGAUGUGUUUGUACGUAUAUUCGCAUGUAAUGACUCCAGUUCCAAAUAAUUGGCUUCUAAGACA